rnacentral:rRNA from 1 species
GAUGAACGCUGGCGGCGUGCCUAAUACAUGCAAGUCGAGCGAACAGACGAGGAGCUUGCUCCUCUGACGUUAGCGGCGGACGGGUGAGUAACACGUGGAUAACCUACCUAUAAGACUGGGAUAACUUCGGGAAACCGGAGCUAAUACCGGAUAAUAUAUUGAACCGCAUGGUUCAAUAGUGAAAGACGGUUUUGCUGUCACUUAUAGAUGGAUCCGCGCCGCAUUAGCUAGUUGGUAAGGUAACGGCUUACCAAGGCAACGAUGCGUAGCCGACCUGAGAGGGUGAUCUGCCACACUGGAACUGAGACCCGGCCCAGACUCCUACGGGAGGCAGCAGUAGGGAAUCUUCCGCAAUGGGCGAAAGCCUGACUGAGCAACGCCGCGUGAGUGAUGAAGGUCUUCGGCUCGUACAACUCUGUUAUUAGGGAAGAACAAAUGUGUAAGUAACUCUGCACGUCUUGACGGUACCUAAUCAGAAAGCCACGGCUAACUACGUGC